rnacentral:rRNA from 1 species
AUGCGAGAGUCGGGUCGCGGUGACGGCUCGAUGAUACGGCCCACGGCAGCUGAAGCGGGCGCUGUGGCAGCCCCUGGUGAUGAUGCGGCGGCUCAGAUGCGAGCGUCUCAAAGACGAGGCGGGUCAGAAAGUCCGUGGCGACUUCAAGCAAGGCGAGGCCACGGCAGUGGCAGCCGGGUGGCCCGGCGAUUUGACGAGGUCCAGGGGUCGCGGGGCACUGGCGGCUUGAUGCUAGUACUGCAGCUGCGGAGAGGCGCCGGUGGUUCAGAGUUGGCGACUCGCAAGCGCCGGACGGAAGCGUACUGA